rnacentral:rRNA from 1 species
UGAGUAACCUGCCCUUGACUCUGGGAUAAGCCUGGGAAACUGGGUCUAAUACCGGAUAGGAACGUCCACCGCAUGGUGGUUGUUGGAAAGAUUUAUCGGUCAUGGAUGGACUCGCGGCCUAUCAGCUUGUUGGUGAGGUAAUGGCUCACCAAGGCGACGACGGGUAGCCGGCCUGAGAGGGUGACCGGCCACACUGGGACUGAGACACGGCCCAGACUCCUACGGGAGGCAGCAGUGGGGAAUAUUGCACAAUGGGCGAAAGCCUGAUGCAGCGACGCCGCGUGAGGGAUGACGGCCUUCGGGUUGUAAACCUCUUUCAGUAGGGAAGAAGCGAAAGUGACGGUACCUGCAGAAGAAGCACCGGCUAACUACGUGCCAGCAGCCGCGGUAAUACGUAGGGUGCGAGCGUUAUCCGGAAUUAUUGGGCGUAAAGAGCUCGUAGGCGGUUUGUCGCGUCUGUCGUGAAAGUCCGGGGCUUAACCCCGGAUCUGCGGUGGGUACGGGCAGACUAGAGUGCAGUAGGGGAGACUGGAAUUCCUGGUGUAGCGGUGGAAUGCGCAGAUAUCAGGAGGAACACCGAUGGCGAAGGCAGGUCUCUGGGCUGUAACUGACGCUGAGGAGCGAAAGCAUGGGGAGCGAACAGGA